rnacentral:rRNA from 1 species
UACAGAGGUCCCAAGCGUUGUUCGGAUUUACUGGGCGUAAAGGGUGCGUAGGUGGUCGGGUAAGUCUCAUGUGAAAUCCCGCAGCUUAACUGCGGAACGGCAUGGGAUACUAUUCGGCUCGAGGAUUGGAGGGGGGACUGGAAUUCCCGGUGUAGCAGUGAAAUGCGUAGAUAUCGGGAGGAACACCAGUGGCGAAGGCGAGUCCCUGGACAAUUCCUGACGCUGAGGAGCGAAAGCCAGGGGAGCAAACGGG